GAGAUAUUAGUAAAAAUUACAUAACUUUGUCAGGGUUAAA
rnacentral:tRNA from 1 species